rnacentral:rRNA from 1 species
GACGAACGCUGGCGGCGUGCUUAACACAUGCAAGUCGAACGGAAAGGCCCUGCUUUUGUGGGGUGCUCGAGUGGCGAACGGGUGAGUAACACGUGAGUAACCUGCCCUUGACUUUGGGAUAACUUCAGGAAACUGGGGCUAAUACCGGAUAGGAGCUCCUGCUGCAUGGUGGGGGUUGGAAAGUUUCGGCGGUUGGGGAUGGACUCGCGGCUUAUCAGCUUGUUGGUGGGGUAGUGGCUUACCAAGGCUUUGACGGGUAGCCGGCCUGAGAGGGUGACCGGCCCCAUUGGGACUGAGAUACGGCCCAGACCCCUACGGGAGGGAGCAGGGGGGAAUAUUGCACAAUGGGCGGAAGCCUGAUGCAGCAACGCCGCGUGCGGGAUGACGGCCUUCGGGUUGUAAACCGCUUUCGCCUGUGACGAAGCGUGAGUGACGGUAAUGGGUAAAGAAGCACCGGCUAACUACGUG